GAACGCGAAGAACCUUACCAGGUCUUGACAUUGAUGGACAGAACCAGAGAUGGUUCCUCUUCUUCGGAAGCCAGAAAACAGGUGGUGCACGGUUGUCGUCAGCUCGUGUCGUGAGAUGUUGGGUUAAGUCCCGCAACGAGCGCAACCCCUAUCUUAUGUUGCCAGCACUUCGGGUGGGAACUCAUGAGAGACUGCCGCAGACAAUGCGGAGGAAGGCGGGGAUGACGUCAAAUCAUCAUGCCCCUUAUGACCUGGGCUACACACGUACUACAAUGGGAGUUAAUAGACGGAAGCAAUACCGCGAGGUGGAGCAAACCCGAGAAACACUCUCUCAGUUCGGAUCGUAGGCUGCAACUCGCCUACGUGAAGUCGGAAUCGCUAGUAAUCGCAGGUCAGCAUACUGCGGUGAAUACGUUCCCGGGUCUUGUACACACC
rnacentral:rRNA from 1 species